CAUGUGGCUGAGCUUAGUGUGGCUUUUAAGUGUUCCUCGGUAUGCCGUGCUUACGCAAGUUAUUUUCUGCUGUGGAUUGUUGAUGCUGCAGCAGCAGAUAGAGUGAUGUGCCUUGAAUUCCAAUGAGGAGAAGGCGUUGGUUUAUUUGGGUUUUUUGAGUACAGAAGAGACCCAGGAGAAGCUGGACACAGAAUGUCCACAGAAUGGACUGCAGUGACAGAGAUGGGAGCCUUGAGAUAUCCUUUCAACAGCUGCUGACUGAAAAUAUUCAGGAACUGGCAGAAAAAUAAAAAGCCCUAAUGCUGGGAAUAGGUCUGCUGGAACUCACCACCACUGCUUCUUUAGUGGAUUCAUCAUCAUUCAGGU